UACGUAGGCAGCAAGCGUUGUUCGGAAUUACUGGGCGUAAAGAGUAUGUAGGCGGUGCUGUAAGUUUGGUGUGAAAUCUCCCGGCUUAACUGGGAGGGUGCGCCGAAAACUGCAGUGCUUGAGUAUGGGAUAGGAAAGCGGAAUUCCUGGUGUAGCGGUGAAAUGCGUAGAUAUCAGGAGGAACACCUGAGGUGUAGACGGCUUUCUGGACCAUAACUGACGCUGAGAUACGAAAGCGUGGGUAGCAAACAGG
rnacentral:rRNA from 1 species